CACGGCGGUGGUGGCGGUCUUGUUCUCCGGAUGUCGUCGUGUUCGCCGGCAAGUAGAUUCCCUUAUUUAAUUCAAGAAAGGGUUCACGAGGCGUGAAGGCACUGAAUUGAAAAGCUUUCGGGAGCCGAAAAGGAAAUUGCUUAUCCGCAUGCGUUAAUCUGAGGUUCUGGAAAAGAAGAUCAAGAGAUGGACGGCUGAGACGUUGAGAUGGUUGAAAGUCAUUGGUGCAAAGGAGAAAAGACCAGAGGGUACGUGAGGUCACAUCAAUGGUGGCGACACGUCAGCAUCUGUUCGUGGUGUACCUCUUAUCCUCUUUGGAACGAUCUGGGAUUUCCGGUGGCCAGCACCACCGAGGAUGAAUAUCCUAUGGGUUUCUUUUACACCGCAUCGUACAACUCGACUCCUUAUUUAUAUGAAUCAAUUAAAAUAAAA